GACAGAGGGUGCAAACGUUGUUCGGAUUUACUGGGCGUAAAGGGCGCGUAGGCGGUCAGCACAAGUCAGUUGUGAAAUCUCCGGGCUUAACCCGGAAAGGUCAACUGAUACUGUGCGACUAGAGUGCGGAAGGGGCAACUGGAAUUCUCGGUGUAGCGGUGAAAUGCGUAGAUAUCGAGAGGAACACCUGCGGCGAAGGCGGGUUGCUGGGCCGACACUGACGCUGAUGCGCGAAAGCGUGGGGAGCAAACGGGG
rnacentral:rRNA from 1 species